rnacentral:rRNA from 1 species
GCUUAACGCGAAGAACCUUACCCCACCUUUGACAUGGCAGGAAGUUUCCAGAGAUGGAUUCGUGCUCGAAAGAGAACCUGCACACAGGUGCUGCAUGGCUGUCGUCAGCUCGUGUUGUGAGAUGUUGGGUUAAGUUUUGUAACGAGCGCAACCCUUGCCAUUAGUUGUUACGAAAGGGCAUUCUAAUGGGACUGCCGGUGACAAACCGGAGGAAGGUGGGGAUGACGUCAAGUCCCUCAGUGGCCCCUUAUAGGUGGGGCUACACACGUCAUACAAUGGCCGGUACAAAGGGCAGCCAACCCGCAAGGGGGAGCCAAUCCCAUAAAGCCGGUCGUAGUCCGGAUCGCAGUCUGCAACUCGACUGCGUGAAGUCGGAAUCGCUAGUAAUCGUGGAUCAGC